rnacentral:rRNA from 1 species
GACGAACGCUGGCGGCGUGCCUAAUACAUGCAAGUUGAGCGCUGAAGGUUGGUACUUGUUCCAAAUGGAUGAGCAGCGAACGGGUGAGUAACGCGUGGGGAAUCUGCCUUUGAGCGGGGGACAACAUUUGGAAACGAAUGCUAAUACCGCAUAAAAACUUUAAACACAAGUUUUAAGUUUGAAAGAUGCAAUUGCAUCACUCAAAGAUGAUCCCGCGUUGUAUUAGCUAGUUGGUGAGGUAAAGGCCCACCAAGGCGAUGAUACAUAGCCGACCUGAGAGGGUGAUCGGCCACAUUGGGACGGAGACACGGCCCAAACUCCUACGGGAGGCAGCAGUAGGGAAUCUUCGGCAAUGGACGAAAGUCUGACCGAGCAACGCCGCGUGAGUGAAGAAGGUUUUCGGAUCGUAAAACUCUGUUGGUAGAGAAGAACGUUGGUGAGAGUGGAAAGCUCAUCAAGUGACGGUAACUACCCAGAAAGGGACGGCUAACUACGUG